AGUGAACGCUGGCGGCAGGCCUAACACAUGCAAGUCGAACGGCAGCACAGAGGAGCUUGCUCCUUGGGCGGCGAGUGGCGGACGGGUGAGGAAUACAUGGGAAUCUGCCCAAUCGUGGGGGAUAACGUAGGGAAACUUACGCUAAUACCGCAUACGACCUACGGGUGAAAGCGGCGGACCGCAAGGCGUCGCGCGAUUGGAUGAGCCCAUGUCGGAUUAGCUAGUUGGCGGGGUAAAGGCCCACCAAGGCGACGAUCCGUAGCUGGUCUGAGAGGAUGAUCAGCCACACUGGAACUGAGACACGGUCCAGGCUCCUACGGGAGGCAGCAGUGGGGAAUAUUGGACAAUGGGCGCAAGCCUGAUCCAGCCAUGCCGCGUGAGUGAAGAAGGCCCUCGGGUUGUAAAGCUCUUUUGUCCGGAAAGAAAAGCUUUCGGUUAAUACCCGGAAGUCCUGACGGUACCGGAAGAAUAAGCACCGGCUGACUUCGUGCCAGCCGCCGCCGUAACAC
rnacentral:rRNA from 1 species